AGAGGACCAGAGUGGACGAACCUCUGGUGUACCGGUUGUGACGCCAGUCGCAUCGCCGGGUAGCUAUGUUCGGAAGGGAUAACCGCUGAAAGCAUCUAAGCGGGAAGCCUACCUCAAGAUAAGAUUUCCCUAGGACUUUAUGUCCUCUAAAGAGCCGUUGAAGACUACGACGUUGAUAGGUUGGAUGUGGAAGCAUAGUGAUAUGUGAAGCUGACCAAUACUAAUUGCUCGUGAGGCUUGACUAUACAACACCCAAACAGUUG
rnacentral:rRNA from 1 species